CCCUUAGAUGUUCUGGGCUGCACGCGCGCUACACUGAUACCUUCAGCGAGUCCAGCACCUUGCCUGGGAAGGUGGGGUAACCUCUGGAAAGUGUAUCGUGAUGGGGAUAGAUUAUUGUAAUUAUUAAUCUUCAACGAGGAAUUCCUAGUAAGCAUGUGUCAUCAGCCCGUGCUGAUUACGUCCCUGCCCUUUGUACACACCGCCCGUCGCUCCUACCGAUUGAGUGAUCCGAUGAAUACCAUGGAUUGAGAGUUCGAAUAGGUUCGCCUAUUUCAGCUUCUCGAGAAGUGGAGUAAAUCUUAUCAUUUAGAGGAAGGAGAAGUCGUAACA
rnacentral:rRNA from 1 species